rnacentral:tRNA from 1 species
GACCUGGUAGCUCAGCUGGUAGAGCAUUUCACUUUUAAUGAAAGGGUCCUGGGUUCGAAUCCCAGCCCGGUCACAA